AUGGUCAGAAUGAAACGGGAAACCGGUGAGAUCCGAUGGAUCGAUUCCGGUGCUGCCCCCGCAACGGUAAGCGAGGUGUUCUGCUUUUUACCACUGUGUGAAAUUCGCAUGGGAAGGUUGCAGAACAACCGUGACAACACGACGCUCGCAAGCCCGGAGACCGGCCUGAUAUCAAU
rnacentral:ncRNA from 1 species